UGGCUGAUACUGACCUCUCGCUCUCGUCCGCAGCCUUCUCGGCCUCCUCCAGUUUCUGCAGCGCAGUGGCCAGCCUCUCCUGCGCCCGGUCAAACUCCUCCUCCACCAGCUGGAUCCUGCGGUUCAGACCCGCCACAUCACCCUCCGCCUGGGAGAAGAGAGGGGGAUGAGGUCAAAGGUGGCAACACGCAUCUCUGCGUGCUUGGUAGAUAUAUCAGCUUAGAUGUCGGCCCACCACCUCAAGCUCAACCUUGACAAAAAGGUGCUGCUCUUCAUUCCGGAGAAGACCUCUCCAUCCAGAUUGACAACUCCACAAGCUCCCCCUUGCAGAAUGCAGAGAACCUUGGCGUAACCAUGGACAACACCCUGUCGUUCUCUACAAACAUCAAAACAGUGACUCGCUCAUGUAGGUUCAUGCUCUACAGCAUCCGUAGAGUAAGAUCCUAGCUCACACAGGAAGUGGCGCAGGUCGUAAUCCAAGCACUUGUCAUCUCCCGCCUGGGCUACUGCAACUUGCUGUUGGCUGGGCUCCCCGCUUGUUCCAUUAAACCCCUGCAACUUAUCCAGAACGCUACUGCCCACCGGGUGUUCAACCUUCCCAAGUUCACCCAUGUCAACCGCUUCUCCGCACACUGCAAAAAUGCCUUUUGUGAACUAACAUUCGAUCUUGACUUUUUUCCCCUCCCCUUACUACCUUUGACUUUGCUGAUAGCUACUUUAUUGAGGAAAAAUGGACUUACUAUGACUGUGGUGUGGUUGUCCCACCUAGUUAUCUUAAGAUGUAUUCACUAACGAACUGUAAGUUGCUCUAGAUAGGAGUGUCUGCUAAAUGACUCAUAAUAAAUGUAAAUGCUAAUGUAAUGGAAGCCAUCAUAUGGAGGUUAAAGAUAUCCUCAAUCACCUAUAACCAUGUGUGAGGAUCCAAUGACAGGGGAAUACACAAAGAGCCCAUAUCCUCUUCAUGAUCCAUUUCCUAUAGUAAAAUGACCAAAUCGCCCUCUAGUGGCCUCAUGGGUGGAAUGUUAUUAAUAUUUUUCUGAAAGUCCGGUGUUUCUAUGUCAAAUGGUUUUGUUAUAUUUCAGUCUUCUGUGAAGUAUAUACAGUGUAAUUUUGGGAUGUAAACUCAAAAUGUAAUACAUUUCAACUCUAUAUCUGA